CCUACGGGCGGCAGCAGUGAGGAAUAUUGGUCAAUGGCCGUAAGGCUGAACCAGCCAAGUCGCGUGAAGGAAGCAGGAUCUAUGGUUUGUAAACUUCUUUUAUAUGGGAAUAAAGGUAUCCACGUGUGGAUAUUUGCAUGUACCCUAUGAAUAAGCAUCGGCUAACUCCGUGCCAGCAGCCUCGUUAAUACGGAGGAUGCGAUCGUUAUCCGGAUUUAUUGGGUUUAAAGGGUGCGGAGGUUGUUUUUUAAGUCAGCGGGGAAAGUUUGUGGCUCAACCAUAAACGUGCCGUUGAAACUGGAAGACUUGAGUGUGUUUGAGGUAGGCGGAAUGCGUGGUGUAGCGGUGAAAUGCAUAGAUAUCACGAAGAAAUCCGAUUGCGAAGGCAGCUUAAUAGGCCAUAACUGACACUGAAGCACGAAAGCGUGGGGAUCAAACAGGAUUAGAUACCCGAGUAGUC
rnacentral:rRNA from 1 species